UCAUGGCCUAUUCACAGUGGCGCUAGCUUUCCACAGGAUAGUCAUUGUUUUGAAAAUAGAAAACCUCAACAGCUCUGAAGCAUAUAAUUACGUUUUCUUAUUACCCAACAAGAAUGUUCUCUGGAGUGCUGUUGUGAGAUGACACACUUAAAAGUGACUUGGCGGAGGAAAAGGCAUCCUGGGAGGAGAGUGGGAGGCUGGGAGCAGAGUAGCUUCUUUCUUUUCUUCUUCUUCUGGUCAUUCUUGUCUCACAAACCUCAGAGAUUUGUGGCUUUUCUUAAUAUUCUAUGUAGUUUUUUUUUUUUUUUUUUUUUUGGUGGUAGAUUCCCAGGCUUGCUCUGGUUAUCAGUAAUUUCAGAGUAUUAGAGCAGAUUCCACUGCCACUGAAUCAUAUACAGACUCAAGGCCAGAGGAUGACAUCAGAAACAUAUGUGUUAUUCUGAAGGCAGAAUUUGGCUGGCGAGAAAAUGAGAACAAGAUCUCCUGAGGGAGAAAGCUUCCAGAGAAACCCAGAAAGGACCCCUGGAGGCUCAGUUCCAAGAACAGCUGCUGCUGAAUUUGUCGGAGCCAAUGCCAUACUGCUGUCUAAUUUCUGGGAAAUGAAAAUUUCCUGGAGAAACUCAAAUGCCUUUGGGAUCACCAAAGAGAGCUACACACAUCACUUCACUGUGUUCUUGGAGGCUUCAGCAGCAGUGUGUGUGUGAUGGAUCCGCUUACUUCUGUGCCUUGAGGGGGACUUGGGGAUGAAUCACAAGAAGGUUAAUCACUCACACCUCUUCCAAGGUCUGAGGACCCUUGCUGGACACCCACUUUUCUACUACAUGCUCAGUGGUAAGCAGAGGAUUCCAGACUUGCUGGAAAUGUUAUGCUGUGAUAGAGUGAUGGGAGAGAAAUUAUAAAUUUAUUAAGAGGUUAGGUUAGAACAGGAGUGUGGAAGUUGGUGCUUUCCCCCUCUAGAUAGAAAUGCCACCAGGCUCUUGAGUCAGAUUGGCUUAAAUAGGGGUUUGAUUCCUUUGAACUCUUUCUCCCUCAUUUACCAACAUGAACAUAUACAGAUAACAGAGGAUGUGAAAAAGUGUAUCUGGAACCUGAGAUACCUUGUUUUCCUGGUUUUGCAUGUUUUGCAAAUGUGGCUAUCUGCUAGUCCCUUUACUUGGAGUUUGGAGGACUCUGGAAAACAAGUUGUUUAUAGGAUAAAUUUUCAGGAUUAUUAUUUUCACCUGGGGUGAUCUGUUCCCUCCUCCUCCUCCCAGAUCCUAGGCGCUAUUGGUGCCAUUGACAUCUGGCUUUAGUGAGAGGAAGGUACAGGUGCAGGUGGUCAGACUCCUUAAAGGUCCAUACACUUAAUGCUGACUGUUAAAUGUCAGUAAAAAUUUUCUUCCAUGUAUUUAAUAACAUGACCUUUCCAUGUUCCCCAUCUCUCUAGCUAACCUGCCUCACCCCCUAUAUAAAAUUAUAAGCUCACCUCACCCAAGCAUUUCCUACUCUACUUACCUGAAUAAUAAUAACAAUAGUAGUAGUAGUAAUAAUAAUAUUAUUAUUUUGGCCACCAGAGUUAUCACUAAGUUCAGAGCCUACACAAUGCUACCAUCCCAGUGAUAGG